CGACUUCGUGUCAGACAUGGUUUGUUUUGUUUUUUGCCAGGGCCCUUUCUCUCGUGGAGUGAAUUCAAUACCUACUAAAGAGGAUCACUGCUGGCAUCUGCCUAGAAAUUUGCUGAAAUCAGACCUCAGCUCAGCAAACCAGAGCCAUCCUCUGAGGACAGGAUCAUUGCAACCCCAUCAUGGCAUGUAUUUAUCGCCUUGA
rnacentral:lncRNA from 1 species